UACGAAGGGGGCUAGCGUUGCUCGGAAUCAGCGUGGGCGUAAAGCGCACGUAGGCGGAUUGACGUAAGUCACGGGGUGAAAUCCUCGGAGACUCAACUCCCAGAACUGCCUUUGAUAUGGUGAUCUUGAGUCCGGGGAAGAGGUGAGUGGAACUGCGAGUGUAGAGGUGAAAUUCGUAGAUAUUCGCAAGAACACCAGUGGCGAAGGCGGCUUUCAUGGACAGGUAACUGAACGCUGACGGCGCGAAAGCGUGGGGAGCAAACAGG
rnacentral:rRNA from 1 species